UAGAGUUUGAUCCUGGCUCAGAAUCAACGCUGGCGGCGUGCCUAACACAUGCAAGUCGAACGCGAAAGGGGCUUCGGCCCUGAGUAGAGUGGCAAACGGGUGAGUAACACGUGGGUGACCUGCCUUCGAGUGGGGGAUAACGUCCCGAAAGGGACGCUAAUACCGCAUGACAUCCUGCUUUUGGAAAAGCGGAGAUCAAAGCUGGGGAUCGCAAGACCUGGCGCUUGAAGAGGGGCCCGCGCCUGAUUAGCUAGUUGGUGGGGUAAUGGCCUACCAAGGCAACGAUCAGUAUCCGGCCUGAGAGGGCGGACGGACACACUGGGACUGAGACACGGCCCAGACUCCUACGGGAGGCAGCAGUGGGGAAUUGUUCGCAAUGGGCGCAAGCCUGACGACGCAACGCCGCGUGGAGGAUGAAGAUCUUCGGGUCGUAAACUCCUGUCGAGUGGGAAGAAUAGCUUUCGGGUGAAUAUCCCGGGAGCCUGACGGUACCACUAAAGGAAGCCCCGGCUAACUCCGUGCCAGCAGCCGCGGUAAUACGGGGGGGGCAAGCGUUGUUCGGAAUUACUGGGCGUAAAGGGCUCGUAGGCGGCCAACUAAGUCGGAUGUGAAAUCCCCAGGCUUAACCUGGGAACUGCAUCCGAUACUGGAUGGCUUGAAUUCGGGAGAGGGAUGCAGAAUUCCAGGUGUAGCGGUGAAAUGCGUAGAUAUCUGGAGGAAUACCGGUGGCGAAGGCGGCAUCCUGGACCGACAUUGACGCUGAGGAGCGAAAGCUAGGGGAGCAAACGGGAUUAGAUACCCCGGUA
rnacentral:rRNA from 1 species